rnacentral:rRNA from 1 species
GAUGAACGCUGGCGGCAGGCCUAACACAUGCAAGUCGAGCGCGAAAGUUCUUCGGAUUGAGUAAAGCGGCGGACGGGUGAGUAAUGCAUGGGAAUCUGCCUGGUAGUGGGGGACAACGUUUCGAAAGGAACGCUAAUACCGCAUACGCCCUACGGGGGAAAGGGGGGGAUCUUCGGACCUCUCGCUAUCAGAUGAGCCCAUGUCAGAUUAGCUUGUUGGUGAGGUAAAGGCUCACCAAGGCGACGAUCUGUAACUGGUCUGAGAGGAUGAUCAGUCACCGUGGAACUGAGACACGGUCCAGACUCCUACGGGAGGCAGCAGUGGGGAAUAUUGGAAAAUGGGCGAAAGCCUGGUCCAGCCAUGCCGCGUGUGUGCAGAAGGCCUUAGGGUUGUCAAGCACUUUCAGUGGGGAGAAAGGUUAUUCACCUAAUACGUGAGUAAAUUGAUGUUACCCACAGAAGAAGCACCGGCUAACUCCGUGCCAGCCGCCGCGGUAA